rnacentral:miRNA from 1 species
CGGUGCCGGGGCAGGGCUGGGCUGGGCUCCGCAUCUGUAGCGCGACGGACCUGUUGC